GAGUUUGAUCGUGGCUCAGAUUGAACGCUGGCGGCAGGCCUAACACAUGCAAGUCGAGCGGUAGAGAGAAGCUUGCUUCUCUUGAGAGCGGCGGACGGGUGAGUAAUGCCUAGGAAUCUGCCUGGUAGUGGGGGAUAACGCUCGGAAACGGACGCUAAUACCGCAUACGUCCUACGGGAGAAAGCAGGGGACCUUCGGGCCUUGCGCUAUCAGAUGAGCCUAGGUCGGAUUAGCUAGUUGGUGAGGUAAUGGCUCACCAAGGCGACGAUCCGUAACUGGUCUGAGAGGAUGAUCAGUCACACUGGAACUGAGACACGGUCCAGACUCCUACGGGAGGCAGCAGUGGGGAAUAUUGGACAAUGGGCGAAAGCCUGAUCCAGCCAUGCCGCGUGUGUGAAGAAGGUCUUCGGAUUGUAAAGCACUUUAAGUUGGGAGGAAGGGCAGUAAAUUAAUACUUUGCUGUUUUGACGUUACGACAGAAUAAGCA
rnacentral:rRNA from 1 species